CUUUUUUAUUCAAUCAUAAAGCUUUUUAUGAUUUAGUAUAUUUUUAAUAUAUUUCAUACAAUAUUUCAUUUCAACAUAUUUGUAGUAUGUUCAUGGAUUUCUGUUUCUUUCUACCCCAACAUAUCUACUUUGCCGAUAUGCACCAACACUGCAUCGCCUGAGACAUAUGAUGCCUUUAAAAUCAAUACGAAAUCGGGAUCUGUAGAGCUUUUAGUAUAUUUGGGAAGGACUUACAGAAAAUGAAUAGCAACCAAGUGCAGUUCAUGGAGAACAUACAUUCGACUUUUGAUCACCAAAUCAAGAGUAUUGCAGGUCCUUGGUUAAACGCAACUUUUCGUAGUAUUUGAUUUAGUAUAUUUUCAAUAUAUUUCAUUCGGUGUGUACAUACUCGUAUAUAUGUACAUCUAAAGGGUUUCUGUUAUUACAAUUACUGCCCGACUAUCUUCUGGAUAUUAUUGAUGCCGUCCUUUACUGCAUUCGUAAUUUCGGGUACUAGUGGAAUUUUUUCAAUCACACCAACACUGCAUCGCCAGAGACAUAUGCUGC